UACGUAGGGUGCGAGCGUUAAUCGGAAUUACUGGGCGUAAAGCGUGCGCAGGCGGCUUUGCAAGACAGAUGUGAAAUCCCCGGGCUCAACCUGGGAUCUGCAUUUGUGACUGCAAGGCUAGAGUACGGCAGAGGGGGAUGGAAUUCCGCGUGUAGCAGUGAAAUGCGUAGAUAUGCGGAGGAACACCAAUGGCGAAGGCAAUCCCCUGGGCCUGUACUGACGCUCAUGCACGAAAGCGUGGGGAGCAAACAGG
rnacentral:rRNA from 1 species